UACGGGGGGGGCUAGCGUUGUUCGGAAUUACUGGGCGUAAAGGGCGCGUAGGCGGUCUACUAAGUUGGAUGUGAAAACUCUGGGCUUAACCCAGAGCCUGCAUUCAAAACUGAUAGGCUAGAGUUCUGGAGGGGAUAGCGGAAUUCCUGGUGUAGCGGUGAAAUGCGUAGAUAUCUGGAGGAACACCGGUGGCGAAGGCGGCAUCCUGGACCAAUAUUGACGCUGAGGAGCGAAAGCCAGGGGAGCAAACGGG
rnacentral:rRNA from 1 species